UAAAGUGGCCCAUGAUGAAUGAAAGUUAUUUGUUAUCACUGGUUCAAACUUAGGCCAUUCAUUUAAACUUUUGAAAUUGUAAAUGCUUACAAUUAUGAGUUUAUUAUACAAUAAUUAAUUUCCUUCUUGGGAAUAGGUUUUGGCAGAGAGAAAUAUUUUUUGCGAGUUUGAUUUAUUAGGUAAAUUAUUUUUGUGGUUUAGUGCAAGUGCAGCGGAAUCGGAGUGCGGGUCGCAGACGUCGCUGGCGCUGGACCUGCACGGCAGCGGCGCGUGCGCAGGCAUCACACUGCGCGUGCGCGACAACACGCGCCGCCGCCCGCUCGCGCGACAGCAGCGCCUGCGCGAUGAUACCGUGCAUCCUACUCCAGUGCAAAGUAUAAACAAUUUAAAUAACGUGGAAGAGCCCACAUUCAGAACGGAAGAUGAAGAUAUAAGUAAAAACAACAUCGAGAUGAUGCAUUUAAGCGUGGAGCGGGAGGUGCGUGCCAGCAGCGCGCCGCCGGCGCCGCGCGCGGAGCUGUCACCGCCACCGUCGCCGCGGCUCGUGGUCACGUCCUGCCUCGGCGACGGCCCGCCCGCGCCUGACACCUGCAUCACAAUGGAACCCUCUGCCACGACCCCCGACGAUGCCCCCACUACACCCAAAUGAGAAUUACCCUCGUCUCCACAAAGCGAGACACCUUAACGCCCUAUCGUACGCCAGAAGACGACUCUUGUUGAUAACAUUUUGAAGUCAUUAUACAAUUUUCGGUUACCCAUAAACUAAAAAGGUGUAUAGUACAUAUAUUAUGUACAUACAUACAUUUACCGAGUUUUCGAUGAGUCUUCAUAAAACGAUGGCAAUUAUUAUCUAUUUUUUAGACUUACUAUUGUAGUUAUAAUGGACUUGAUGUAUGCUUAAAAAUGUUUUCAUUACCCAAAUAAUUUAACUAUUAAAAAAAACGGAUAGAAUGUACGGUCAUGAAUCUGAUUUGAUUUUAACGUGCUUCAAUAGCAAGACUUUGGAAUAAAAAAGUAUCCAAAUAAUAUAUAAAUGGCAGGUAGUGUCUUCAGUAUAAAUAACGUCAUUUUAUAUUGAACUUUAUACACUUUAAGAUAGAGUUAAUAAGAAUUGUGAAAUGUGUACAGGAAAUGAUCAAAAGUGGUUACAAAAGUGCUACGAGAACCGUAGCAAAGCCCGUAGCGCGAUCCGUAGUCCGUAGCAGAACGUAGCAGGAACACAAAUUUAAACAUUAUAACCCUUAUUAAUAUAAUCGUCGUAGUUACAUAGUACAAUAAGAGUUGUUACGUACGGUAUGUUUUUCUACUUACGUUAUUAGUAAUGACUUUUUCAUAACAUUUUUAAUAACUCUUUACUACUACCGAACAAAAUUUCUUGUUCGUCGGUGAGAUGUACUUUUA